AGACCCGAAACCCGGUGAUCUAGCCAUGGGCAGGUUGAAGGUUGGGUAACACUAACUGGAGGACCGAACCGACUAAUGUUGAAAAAUUAGCGGAUGACCUGUGGCUGGGGGUGAAAGGCCAAUCAAACCGGGAGAUAGCUGGUUCUCCCCGAAAGCUAUUUAGGUAGCGCCUCGUGAAUUCAUCUCCGGGGGUAGAGCACUGUUUCGGCUAGGGGGCCAUCCCGGCUUACCAACCCGAUGCAAACUGCGAAUACCGGAGAAUGUUAUCACGGGAGACACACGGCGGGUGCUAACGUCCGUCGUGAAGAGGGAAACAACCCAGACCGCCAGCUAAGGUCCCAAAGUCAUGGUUAAGUGGGAAACGAUGUGGGAAGGCCCAGACAGCCAGGAUGUUGGCUUAGAAGCAGCCAUCAUUUAAAGAAAGCGUAAUAGCUCACUGGUCGAGUCGGCCUGCGCGGAAGAUGUAACGGGGCUAAACCAUGCACCGAAGCUGCGGCAGCGACGCUGAUGCGUUGUUGGGUAGGGGAGCGUUCUGUAAGCCUGUGAAGGUGGCCUGUGAGGGUUGCUGGAGGUAUCAGAAGUGCGAAUGCUGACAUAAGUAACGAUAAAGCGGGUGAAAAGCCCGCUCGCCGGAAGACCAAGGGUUCCUGUCCAACGUUAAUCGGGGCAGGGUGAGUCGACCCCUAAGGCGAGGCCGAAAGGCGUAGUCGAUGGGAAACGGGUUAAUAUUCCCGUACUUGGUGUUACUGCGAAGGGGGGACGGAGAAGGCUAUGUUGGCCGGGCGACGGUUGUCCCGGUUUAAGCGUGUAGGUGUGUGUUCCAGGUAAAUCCGGUUCACUUUAACACUGAGGCGUGAUGACGAGGCACUACGGUGCUGAAGCAACAAA
rnacentral:rRNA from 1 species